UAUCCGAAGCGAGCGUAUUCCAAAUUUGUUUAAAAACCGCCCCGGCCAGACUGGACGGGUUGGCAUACUGAUCAAUACUUGAACUGUCGGCGCGACAUCUCCCCCAAGUGACGCGCUGAUGAAGGUACCAACGGACCGCGUACCUUUGUUUUACUCCUAAUGGUCUUAACCCGGAUUCACCCCCCAGAACCCGG
rnacentral:sRNA from 22 species